GUUUUCCUCUCUUCCCUGUUGUAAACUUCAUUUGAUUUUGAUGAAACAAGAUUAAUAAACUUCGCAAUAGGAAAAAAACACAUGAAAAUCUCAUAGCCUAUAGAAGUUAACGUGGAACAUUAUGGAAUGAACUUGACGAGGCAGGUUUUAGAUUUAAAAAUGACAUGUCAGUCAUCUAUUAUUUACUUACUUUAUCCCCCUUUUUAACCUCGCCGUGGCAUCGUUUUGAUCAUUUAUCAUACACCUUCCCUGCACAUUAUUCUCCAAUGAGCCAUGGGUGUGGAGCUCGUAAUGAAUCAGACAAACUUUGUUUCACAAUCAGAAAAAACACUAUGCUAGAAGUUGCUUCUGGCCUUCAGAGAGUUGAGAAGAUAUUAGAUUAUUUUUAUCUCAAAAUAAGCAAAAUCACUUAUCUGAAUAAAAAAUAGGCAUGGAAAUCGAGAUAGAUUACAUGGCUCAGUGGCUGUAACGGAUUGUUUUGAAAAGAGUCCCUGUUGUUUCCUCUUUUUCUUAUUCUCC
rnacentral:lncRNA from 1 species